rnacentral:rRNA from 1 species
GACGAACGCUGGCGGCGUGCCUAAUACAUGCAAGUUGAGCGCUGAAGGUUGGUACUUGUACCAACUGGAUGAGCAGCGAACGGGUGAGUAACGCGUGGGGAAUCUGCCUUUGAGCGGGGGACAACAUUUGGAAACGAAUGCUAAUACCGCAUAAAAACUUUAAACACAAGUUUUAAGUUUGAAAGAUGCAAUUGCAUCACUCAAAGAUGAUCCCGCGUUGUAUUAGCUAGUUGGUGAGGUAAAGGCUCACCAAGGCGAUGAUACAUAGCCGACCUGAGAGGGUGAUCGGCCACAUUGGGACUGAGACACGGCCCAAACUCCUACGGGAGGCAGCAGUAGGGAAUCUUCGGCAAUGGACGAAAGUCUGACCGAGCAACGCCGCGGGAGUGAAGGAGGUUUUCGGAUCGUAAAACUCUGUUGGUAGAGAAGAACGUUGGUGAGAGUGGAAAGCUCAUCAAGUGACGGUAACUACCCAGAAAGGGACGGCUAACUACGUG